rnacentral:lncRNA from 1 species
UUUGUGUCUCCGCGGAGCGCAUGCCACCUCGGGGAAAACAACGAAUCUGAGUUAGAACGGGGAGAGAGAGACACUAGCGUGAGUUUUGUUAAUCUUUUAAAGCCUCCCGGUGAACCUAGAAACCCAAAAAUUAUCUUGAACAGCAAAUGCUCUGGGGUUUAGAGAACGUUUGUUUCUUUGUCUUUUUCAUUGCCUCUUCCGUGCCAAAAACAAUCUGUUUGCUGGAGAACACAUCCGGAAAGAGCUGUUUUCCCCUGUUCAUCCAGUGAGAAGAUAUGUUUUCUCUCUACCAGUUAGAUUUCUUCUUUUGUCAGAAAGAAGAGCAUCUGUCCUCCAGGCUGGGCUUUGUCUCCGUUUGCUCUGCGACUGCACUAGCGCAGCAAGGCUACAUAAGGAGGCUUUUCAGCAGAGGAGCCUGGUGUUGAACUCGUGCCAUGGGGAAUGAAUUCUUCUAUAGACCCCUCGUCCUCUUCUGGAAGUUAAAGGGGGGCGAUUUGCAAAAAAAGCAUAUGUGUAUGAAUGUGUCUUCCUGUCCUAGCAUUUUGUGCCUUUAAGUCCUUGUGCUUCUGAGUGGACUCGACUGUCAGUGCCGCUCAAGGCCCUCACUAGCCUCCACACUCAGAGUUCCCCUGACAGAGCCAGUGUAAACUGGUUUUCACAGCAUGAGCU